GGCCUUGUGGCCUAAUGGAUAAGGCGUCGGACUUCGGAUCCGAAGAUUGCAGGUUC
rnacentral:tRNA from 1 species